rnacentral:lncRNA from 1 species
AGACAGUGGAAUAAGAUGGCUUCGCCUGAGGUUCCAACGUGUCUGCAGAAUGAUUUCCAUCAGAUUGCACGAUGUGGAUGGUCUGCUGAGAACGCUCACUUCAGACCAGAUGUUCAUCCGUCUUUAUUUUUUACAUCCACAAGAAGAGGAAAACAUUGGGCCAAUUUCAAAAUUAUAAUUGAAAAGAGUAACUUGAAAACAGAUACUCCCAGCCAUGCCCUUGCCUCAAGACAUCUGCCGUCUCCCUGGCCUCUGAGGCAGGGUGGGAAGACACCGCCACCCCAUUCCAUAGGUGAAGAGCUCUUUCAUGGGGUACAUGCGCAUCCCACUCCUUGCUCGGCUCAGCACAAGCUCAGCAUUGCCAGAGAGAAAAACUGGAAGACAGAGACAAACAAAACAACAACUGGUAGGUGGGUGCUUGUGAUAAGUUAAAGAUAGGAAACCAGGGAACGCUGUGGGCUGCCACCCCAGGGGCUUGGUCGCCACCAAGAGUGAAGGAGGAACAACAGGGAGAGGAUAUGCACCAGAGUCCCCAUCGCCAGCCUAAGCAGGAGCACAGGAGCAACAGCGUUUGAUGCUUUCCUACAAGAGGCUGAAGAAGGAAACAAGUUGCUGAGGUUUUGAAGAAUCGUGGGUCGCAUUUCCUUGGAUCAGCUAAGCCCCGAACAGAUCCCUAAAGCAACUGGGCUUCUGGUCCUAUUUCACCUUCAAAGAGAAUCAAUCCUACCCUUCCAUCCUGAACAGUCUUCUAGGCUCAAGCACUCUGAAUUUUCCUAUCGUGGCUGGAGCUAUCGAUUUGGUGCUAGUCUCACUCUCUUUGUCAACCUCUCUUGUGCAUUUAUUAAUACAAACUUAUUAUUUUUUCCUAACUUAGUUUUUAACGUGAUUACAUUCACAGAUUUUUUAAAAGUUGAUCUGCUCUUGAAUUCCUGGUUUUAUUCUAUGUAAUUAUCAGUAUUUUUUUUCAGAAAUGGUCUCUUUUUAUUUGAAUGGUUGAUCUAGGACUCAGCCUAAAUAUUAUUCUAAUACGUAGCUGUACAUAACCAACAUGUCUAUGAUGUUAGUGAUGAACCAGAACCAACACAGAGAUGGUCUUUGCCUGAUAAAAGAUAAUCACAAUCCGAAAUAAAAUUACUAGGUAAAAUACAGGAUGCCUAGUUAAAUUUGAGUAUCAGAUAAACAAUGAAACAUUUUUAGUUACAUGUCCCAUGUAAUAUUUGUACUAAAUACUUAUACUAAAUUGUAAAGGACAUACUUAUACUAAAUUGUAAAGGACAUCCUUAUACUAAAGGAAAGCAUUGCUUAUCUGAAAUUCACAUUUAACUGGUUGUCCUAUAUUUUUAUUUGUUAAAUGUGGCAAUCUUAAUCAUAAACAAAUAAGCAAACAAGUAUAAGUCUUAGAAAAGAAUAAAUCAAUUUUUAAAUGAAUGCAUUUAGUGUUGUCAGGGAAUAAUUACAAUAUGUCAGCAAACCUUGGCAACCAUUGGAAUCCCGUUUCUGAAAAUUACAGUGUAGUGUGAAGUAGAAAAUAACAACGAUGGUUUUAACUCAUAUGAAACAUAGAAAAAAUUCAGAAACAAACUAGAUUUAUUGGUUUUAAGGAAAAGAAGCCAGAACAACUACCAGAAUACUGUUCUGUUAGGUAACUCUUCUUUUAACCACCUUCUUUAAUUACUCAGGAAAUAUUUCUGUGUUUUCCUCAACAACUGGAGUAGAUUUUCCCAUGAGUUUUAUGUUACACAAAGUUUAGUUAUUUUUAAAGUUAUCAAAUCAGCUCUUACUGGCUUGAAGUUAAGUAUCCAUGGAACUUGUAUUUCCUUUGUUUUCCUUUCAAAUGUCUCCCCAAAAUGCUUGUAACUGUGUAUCCUUUCUGUAAAUAAUUUUGCCACUUAUUGUGUAUUUUUCUGGGUCUGAACUUGUGUUCAUAUUUUCAGAAGGUGGGUAAAAAUGUUUUCUCCGCAGCUACAUAGUAUUUUCUCCAGGAAGGCUGGCGGGGGCAGAGUGCAAUAAUUGUUUUGGUUUGAAGGGACAGAGGUGAACUGUUCAUACAUUAAAAGAUUUGGGAGGCCGGGUGCGGUGGCUCACGCCUGUAAUCUGUAAUCCCAGCACUUUGGGAGGCCAAAGUGGGCGGAUUACUUGAGGUCAGGAGUUUGAGACCAGCCUGGUCAACAUGGUAAAACACCAUCUCUACUGAAAAUACAAAAAAAUUAGCUGGGCUUGGUGGCAGGUGCCUGUAAUCCCAGCUACUCGGGAGGCUGAGGCAGGAGAAUCGCUUGAACCCGGGAGCCGGAGGUUGCAGGAGCAGAGAUUGCACCACUACACUCCAGCCUGGGCAACAGAGUAAGACUCCAUCUCAAAAAAAUAAAAAUAAAAUAAAAUAACUAAAUAAAUAAAAGAUUUGGGAUAGUUAGCUAAUAUUCUGGAAUAAAAUUAUAAAACUGGGUUAACUAAAAAUAACAUUUAUCCAAGUAUUGAUAUAUUUUGAUUUUAUUAUUUAAAUGAUUACAAUCUCCUCAUAUAUACAAGUAAAUCUUGGGGCAUUUGAUAAAUUUCAUGUUUAUGCAUUCAUUGAGUCAGCCACUACACUUUUGUUGUGUGCCUAUUAACGUGCAAGUGGCCAUUCUAAGUGGCCAUUUGGCAAGUGCAGGUGAAUGAGACCAGCUUCUGCCUCCCAGGGAAGUGGCUGUUAAGUAGGGACGAUGGCAUGCAAAUCGGUAAUUAUAAUACAGAUUAAUAAAAGCCAUCAUGUGUUUGUAUACAAAGUCUCAUGAGUACAUGGGAGAGGAAGACAUUCAUUGCAUUCGGGGCUAAGGGGUACUCAGGUAUUUGAUGCAGGGGAAUGGACCAGUCAGUUGAACCUUGGGAGUUCUUCAAGCAAAGAGGGAAGAGAAAGGCAUUACAGUUGAGGGCACAGCAUACAGAAAGACUCAGUGGCCCAACAGAGCUUGGCACACUCAAGUGGCUGUAUUAUAGGGCUCACGGUGGGAAGCAGGAAGUAGCAAAUGUAAAGCAGGAAAGGAACUCAAGACCAGCUCAUCAUUAGCUUGUAAUGAUGCCAAGGGGAUUGGACUCUAUCUCAAGGAGAUGAAGAACCACUGAGGGAUGAGUACAGGAGGAAAUGAUUCCAUUUUUAUUGCAGAACCAUCACUCUGGAGGUUAUGUGAAAAUGGGUUGGAGAUGAGACUAGAGGCAAGAAGACUGGUUAAGAAGUUAAGAAAAUAGCCUAGGCCGGGCGCGGUGGCUCACGCCUGUAAUCCCAGCACUUUGGGAGGCCGAGGCGGGCAGAUCACG